AUUGAACGCUGGCGGCAUGCCUUACACAUGCAAGUCGAACGGCAGCGGACCUUCGGGUGCCGGCGAGUGGCGAACGGGUGAGUAAUAUAUCGGAACGUACCUUUCAGUGGGGGAUAACGUAGCGAAAGUUACGCUAAUACCGCAUAUUCUGUGAGCAGGAAAGCAGGGGAUCGCAAGACCUUGCGCUGAUUGAGCGGCCGAUAUCAGAUUAGCUAGUUGGUGAGGUAAAGGCCCACCAAGGCGACGAUCUGUAGCGGGUCUGAGAGGAUGAUCUGCCACACUGGGACUGAGACACGGCCCAGACUCCUACGGGAGGCAGCAGUGGGGAAUUUUGGACAAUGGGCGCAAGCCUGAUCCAGCCAUGCCGCGUGCGGGACGAAGGCCUCGG
rnacentral:rRNA from 1 species